CGGACGGGUGAGUAAUGUCUGGGAAACUGCCUGAUGGAGGGGGAUAACUACUGGAAACGGUAGCUAAUACCGCAUAACGUCGCAAGGACCAAAGAGGGGGACCUUCGGGCCUCUUGCCAUCGGAUGUGCCCAGAUGGGAUUAGCUAGUAGGUGGGGUAAAGGCUCACCUAGGCGACGAUCCCUAGCUGGUCUGAGAGGAUGACCAGCCACACUGGAACUGAGACACGGUCCAG
rnacentral:rRNA from 1 species